rnacentral:rRNA from 1 species
GAGGGGCAAGCGUUGUUCGGAAUUACUGGGCGUAAAGGGCGCGUAGGCGGCCUUCUAAGUCGAACGUGAAAUCCCCGGGCUCAACCCGGGAACUGCGUCCGAUACUGGAAGGCUUGAAUCCGGGAGAGGGAUGCGGAAUUCCAGGUGUAGCGGUGAAAUGCGUAGAUAUCUGGAGGAACACCGGUGGCGAAGGCGGCAUCCUGGACCGGUAUUGACGCUGAGGCGCGAAAGCCAGGGGAGCAAACGGGAUUAGAUACCCCGGUAGUCCUGGCCCUAAACGAUGAAUGCUUGGUGUGGCGGGUAUCGAUCCCUGCCGUGCCGAAGCUAACGCAUUAAGCAUUCCGCCUGGGGAGUACGGUCGCAAGGCUG